GUGACUCUGCAAACUGAGACUGGUUGUUUGAAACAGAGGCAUGCAGGUGUGGUGUGUGGUAUUUACCGGGGGCUGAGAGAGAGGGGAAAAAAGGCAAGAUGGAAGAGUUAGUAAAAGCCUUGGUACAGGCUACUGCUACCCAGCAAGACACAAACCGUGUAACAGCGGCUCAGAUCAGUAGCCUCAUGGAGUCACAGCGACAGGCUGUUGCGGCC